rnacentral:rRNA from 1 species
UACGUAUGGAGCAAGCGUUAUCCGGAUUUACUGGGUGUAAAGGGAGCGUAGGCGGCGGCCUAAGUCUGAUGUGAAAACCCGGGGCUCAACUCCGGGAUUGCAUUGGAAACUGGGCUGCUAGAGUGUCGGAGAGGCAAGUGGAAUUCCCAGUGUAGCGGUGAAAUGCAUAGAUAUUGGGAGGAACACCAGUGGCGAAGGCGGCUUGCUGGACGAUUACUGACGCUGAGACUCGAAAGCGUGGGGAGCAAAC